GAAGAAGGAAGAGAGAAAUGAAUGAUAUGAUAAGUGAUGUGACAGAAAUUGCAGGGAGAGAUAAGAAGAAGAUAAAGUGGAAAUGAGAUGGAAGAGAAAUAGAAGUGUGAAUGAAUUAUUACUAAAUUUAUUCAUACUUUAAACUUUUUCGAGUUCAUUUCCACUUUAAUUUCAUUUCUACCUAUCUCCUUAUUUCCUAUUAUAUCAUAUAUCACAUCUCAUACUUUAUCUCUCUCUUCUUAUUUC
rnacentral:pre_miRNA from 1 species